UAAGGAAUAUUGCUCAAUGGGAGAAAUCCUGAAGCAGCAGCGCCGCGUGGAGGAUGAAGGGUCUAUGACUUGUAAACUCCUGUAAAGAAGGAAAAAAUUCCCAUUAGAUGGGAGAUGAUGGUACUUCUGGAGUAAGCCCCGGCUAACUACGUGCCAGCAGCCGCGGUAAUACGUAGGAUGCGAGCGUUAUCCGGAUUUAUUGGGUUUAAAGGGUGCGUAGGCGGCGAUAUAAGUCAGUGGUGAAAUAUUUCGGCUUAACCGAGAGACUGCCAUUGAUACUGUGUUGCUAGAAUAUGGUUGCUGUGAGUGGAGUGUGUGGUGUAGCGGUGAAAUGCUUAGAUAUCACACAGAAUAUCGAUUGCGAAGGCGACUUUCUGGACCGUAGCUGACGCUGAGGCAUGAAAGCGUGGGGAGCAAACA
rnacentral:rRNA from 1 species